rnacentral:lncRNA from 1 species
GGGCGGAGGCGGCAGGGAUGCGAUGGCGGAGUCGCUGCCCCUGGAGAUGCUCACAUAUAUUCUGAGCUUCCUGCCUCUGUCAGAUCAGAAAGAAGCCUCCCUCGUGAGUUGGGCUUGGUACCGUGCUGCCCAGAAUGCCCUUCGGGAGAGGCUGUGGCUACCCUGUGCUUCCAGCAACCAGGCCUUACCUCUCUGGACCUCAGUGGCUG